rnacentral:lncRNA from 1 species
GAGAAGAGUUUUUGUUUCUACCAAAAGUUAUAAUUAUCAAUAUCGUUAUCUAAAAUUUUCCUCCAUGUCUAACUGUUUUAUAUUUUAAUAGAGUGGAAUAGUGCUUAAAAUUGUGAAACCUCUUUGAUUAAAAUGAUAUAAAGGAGACCUAAAUUUAAAAAAAAAAAAAAAAAAAAUACAUUUAGUAGCUAUGUCGGGGUAAAGGGUAAAUUUCAACCUGAACCCUAGAAAAGUAGAAUCCAAUUUUCUCUCAAAUCGAUUCUCGAACAGCGAUGGCACGAACUGAACAUUAUUUCAAAUAAAACUGAACUGAACAUUAUUUCAAAUAAAACAAAGAAAAAUCAAAAUAUAAAUUUCAAAAUAUAAGUAGUCUAUAUAUAUAAAGUUAACUUUGCUCUCUUCUCCUUAAGCCACCUCACCAUCCUAAUCAUCAUACACAUCAUUUUACUAUUUAAUUAUAAUAAUUUAUUUAUACCAUUUUAUUCUUUAAUUUAAAUAUUUAUACACAUGUAAACAAGUUUUUCAAAAAGUAAUAUGAAAAGUCCUUUCAAAUGAUAAUUAUAAUAAAAUAAAUAUGUUAAAUUAGUAUAAAGUAGAUUAUACUAAUAUGUAUGUUAAAUAACAAAAAAAUAACAAAUAUAACAAACAAAUAUAACAAAUAAAAAUAACAAACAAAAAUAAAUAGAUAAUAAACAACUUAUCGCCAAAUCAACAAAUAAAAAUACAAUAAUUCGCACGAAUCCACAAAUCAUUCUCAACUAUUGGACCAACAUAUUAAAAGGACCUACAAUAUUAACAUCAUCGAUCUAUAUUUGGUAGGAGCCUUAAUAACACAUUUUUUCUACAACUCUCCAUAACACUUCCGUUUACGCCUACACAUCGAUUUAUACUAUACACACUUAAUUCUCAACUAUUAUCGAAACUAAAAUAAAAUAGAUUUUCUAUACAAACACUACAUGAGAUAGAAAAUAAAAAUAUGAUUUAGUUGAGAAAAUAAGUACGAAAUAAAAUAUGAAUCAUUUACUCAUAAACUACGUAAUAAAACUCCCGCGCGUAGCGCGGGCAACUGACUAGUAGAUAUAUAUAUAUAUAUAUAAUCACCUAUCAAACAUAUUCAAACUCUCAAUCCCUCCUCUCUCACUUAUCUUACUCUAGAAAAAAAAAUGACGAAUAGAAAAGUCUCAAGAGAUGAGGAACUACUAGUCACAUGUACUCUGCCAGACAAGGAGAUCCCUGCCGGUUCUCUCCCAGUCGCUCGUAUUCAUCCAGCUCCCCUUGUGGUUCCCCCUUGCUCCUCCUCCGCUAGCUUUCCAAGAUCUUAGUGAUUCUCCUCUCAAUAGACUGACUCAUAUUCAACGUCUGAGGAUGCGUAGAAAACAAAGAACCCAAAGCCGCAAGCAAAGAAGAAAGAACGUCAACAUGAGAAACAACAACGAAGGCGAUAACAACGAGGGCGGCGGAAUGGGCGGCGAAGGCUGCAUUGAAGCUUGAUAAUUUUCUUUUAAAAAAUAACUGUUUUUAAUAUGGCAUCAAAUAUGAGAAGAGUUUUUGUUUCUACCAAAAGUUAUAAUUAUCAAUAUCGUUAUCUAAAAUUUUCCUCCAUGUCUAACUGUUUUAUAUUUUAAUAGAGUGGAAUAGUGCUUAAAAUUGUGAAACCUCUUUGAUUAAAAUGAUAUAAAGGAGACCUAAAUUUAAAAGAAAAAGAAAAAAAAAUACAUUUAGUAGAUAUGUCGGGGUAAAGGGUAAAUUUCAACCUGAACCCUAGAAAAGUAGAAUCCAAUUUUCUCUCAAAUCGAUUCUCGAACAGCGAUGGCACGAACUGAACAUUAUUUCAAAUAAAACUGAACUGAACAUUAUCUCAAAU